rnacentral:rRNA from 1 species
UACGUAGGUGGCAAGCGUUGUCCGGAUUUACUGGGCGUAAAGAGCGCGCAGGCGGCUGGUCAAGUCCGAUGUGAAAUCUCCCGGCUUAACUGGGAAACUGCAUCGGAAACUGAUCGGCUUGAAGGUGGGAGAGGGUAGUGGAAUUCCCGGUGUAGUGGUGAAAUGCGUAGAUAUCGGGAGGAACACCAGUGGCGAAGGCGGCGCCCUGGCGUCGUACCCUGGACGCUCGAUACACGACAGCAUCGGGGAGCGAACGGGAUUAGGAAACCCGUAGUACGGUCCAGAUC